ACUCAAAGGAAUAGACGGGAUCCCGCACAAGCAGUGGAGUAUGUGGUUUAAUUCGAAGCAACGCGAAGAACCUUACCAGGACUUGACAUCCAAAGAAGACGGCGUAAUGGCUGUUGUGCCCUUCGGGGAACUUUGAGACAGGUGGUGCAUGGUUGUCGUCAGCUCGUGUCGUGAGAUGUUGGGUUAAGUCCCGCAACGAGCGCAACCCUUACCUUUAGUUGCUACGCAAGAGCACUCUAGAGGGACUGCCGUUGACAAAACGGAGGAAGGUGGGGACGACGUCAAAUCAUCAUGCCCCUUACGUUCUGGGCUACACACGUACUACAAUGGCGCAAACAAAGGGAAGCGAAGUCGCGAGAUGGAGCAAACCCCAAAAAGGCGUCCCAGUUCGGACUGCAGGCUGCAACCCGCCUGCACGAAGUUGGAAUUGCUAGUAAUCGUAGGUCAGCAUACUACGGUGAAUACGUUCCCGGGAUUUGUACACACCGCCCGU
rnacentral:rRNA from 1 species